rnacentral:rRNA from 1 species
GACGAACGCUGGCGGCGUGCUUAACACAUGCAAGUCGAACGGAAAGGCCCUGCUUGCAGGGUACUCGAGUGGCGAACGGGUGAGUAACACGUGUGUGAUCUGCCCUGCACUUCGGGAUAAGCCUGGGAAACUGGGUCUAAUACCGGAUAGGAGCCAUUUUUAGUGUGAUGGUUGGAAAGUUUUUUCGGUGUAGGAUGAGCUCGCGGCCUAUCAGCUUGUUGGUGGGGUAAUGGCCUACCAAGGCGGCGACGGGAAGCCGGCCUGAGAGGGUGGACGGCCACAUUGGGACUGAGAUACGGCCCAGACUCCUACGGGAGGCAGCAGUGGGGAAUAUUGCACAAUGGGCGCAAGCCUGAUGCAGCGACGCCGCGUGGGGGAUGACGGCCUUCGGGUUGUAAACUCCUUUCGCUAGGGACGAAGCUUUUUGUGACGGUACCUAGAUAAGAAGCACCGGCUAACUACGUG